GCGAAGAUGGCGAAAUUGGUAAACGCACUAGUUUCAGAUGUUAGAGUCUAAAAAAAGACAUGAGGGUUCGACUCCCUCUCUUCGCA
rnacentral:tRNA from 1 species